GAGUUUGAUCCUGGCUCAGGAUGAACGCUAGCGGCAGGCUUAAUACAUGCAAGUCGAGGGGCAGCGGGGGUAGCAAUACCUGCCGGCGACCGGCAAACGGGUGCGGAAUACGUACACAACCUUCCUUUAAGUGGGGGAUAGCCCAGAGAAAUUUGGAUUAAUACCCCGUAAUAUUAUUGAGUGGCAUCAUUUAAUAAUUAAAGCUCCGGCGCUUAGAGAUGGGUGUGCGGCUGAUUAGGUAGUUGGUGAGGGUAACGGCCCACCAAGCCAACGAUCAGUAACUGGUGUGAGAGCACGACCAGUCACACGGGCACUGAGACACGGGCCCGACUCCUACGGGAGGCAGCAGUAAGGAAUAUUGGUCAAUGGACGCAAGUCUGAACCAGCCAUGCCGCGUGGAGGAUGAAGGUCCUCUGGAUUGUAAACUUCUUUUAUCUGGGAAGAAAUGCCAGAAUUCUUUUUGGUUUGACGGUACCAGAUGAGUAAGCACCGGCUAACUCCGUGCCAGCAGCCGCGGUAAUACGGAGGGUGCAAGCGUUAUCCGGAUUCACUGGGUUUAAAGGGUGCGUAGGUGGGCAGUUAAGUCAGUGGUGAAAUCUCCGGGCUAAACCCGGAAACUGCCAUUGAUACUAUCUGUCUUGAAUACCGUGGAGGUAAGCGGAAUAUGUCAUGUAGCGGUGAAAUGCUUAGAUAUGACAUAGAACACCAAUUGCGAAGGCAGCUUUACUACACGUACUAUUGACACUGAGGCACGAAAGCGUGGGGAUCAAACAGGAUUAGAUACCCUGGUAGUC
rnacentral:rRNA from 1 species